rnacentral:tRNA from 1 species
UUAAUUGAAGCCAAAGUAGAGGCCUUCCAUUGUUAAUGGGAUAAUUGAUUUAAAUAUCCAAUUAAA